CUAGUUUCGGCCUCCAUGAGCGAGAACCAAUCAGAAUUGGAUUUUUUUUUAGGCCACUUUCAGCCCAAUCCUGGCCCAACCAAAAGUGAGUUGUCGUAACUCUGGGUAUAAAGGGACUCUAGGUUUGUCAAGUCUGGCUUAAAGUAAGUCAUGUACCAGCCUUCCACCUAUCAGCACAUCUUAGAGCGCCAGUUUUCUGACAAAUAGACCAAUUCUGCAUUGUCAGACAAUGAUCUACCUUUUUUAGAAUCCUUUCAGAUGUUCCAGUAAACUGUAAACAUCAAGUAAACUAGUAAACAUAACCUCACUUUCUUCCUGACUUUUACACAGAGAUAGAAGAGAUAGCAGCAUAGAGUAAGAGUAGUUAGAGGGAAACUCUCCCGUAUAGAACCCCUAAGAACUAUACCAUCAUUGCAGCCUGAUUAGAGGUUUUUUUGAAAGUUGAUUUCUUACAUACGGAAAAAAAUCAGCGAUUCUCGUUUGGGGGGAAAAAAAAUAGGAAUAGUUCGUUAAUAAAUUAGGUAUCGCUCGGCAUAUAUAAGAGCUCCGCCGAGUGACGGAAAAUUUCAAGGGGGAUAUUGUGGCAAUUUCACGUAAAACUUAUGGAACUUAUGCGAAUGAAUGAGGCUGCUUAUGAACCAACAAAAAAAAAUGAAAAUUCAAUUUUGAAUUUUUUAUGAGAUAAACUUCGUUGGAAAAAAAACAUUGUUAGUUGAACUUGCAAAUCGUCGGCGUGAUUUGUUACAGGCUGCGGAACCAACCCGUAAAAAGUACCUAAGUUUCAAUGCAUGGGAAUAUCCACCGAAAAAAUUAAAUUGCUCAUUUAACAGUUUUGUACUUACAAACUGUCCGACUUGUUCCAAAUGAGGAGCUUGGAGGACAAGGCGCAUAAAUGCAG